AGAGUUUGAUCCUGGCUCAGAACGUACGCUGGCGGCACGCCUAACACAUGCAAGUCGAACGCAGUAGCAAUACUGAGUGGCAGACGGGUGAGUAACAUGUGGGAAUCUGCCUUGUGGUUCAGGACAACAUUGGGAAACCGAUGCUAAUACUGGAUAAGCCCUUACGGGGAAAGUUUUAAUGCCAUAAGAUGAGCCCGCAUUUGAUUAGUUAGUUGGUGAGGUAAUGGCUCACCAAGACAAUGAUCAAUAGCUGAUCUGAGAGGAUGAUCAGCCACACUGGGACUGAGACACGGCCCAGACUCCUACGGGAGGCAGCAGUGGGGAAUCUUGCACAAUGGAGGAAACUCUGAUGCAGCGAUGCCGCGUGAGUGAAGAAGGCCUUUGGGUUGUAAAGCUCUUUUGUAGGGGAAGAUAAUGACUGUACCCUAAGAAUAAGGUCCGGCUAACUUCGUGCCAGCAGCCGCGGUAAUACGAAGGGACCUAGCGUAGUUCGGAAUUACUGGGCGUAAAGCGCGCGUAGGCCGUUGAGUUAGUUAAUUGUGAAAUCCCAAAGCUUAACUUUGGAACUGCAAUUAAAACUGCUCGACUAGAGUUUGAUAGAGGAAAGCGGAAUACAUAGUGUAGAGGUGAAAUUCGUAGAUAUUAUGUAGAACACCAGUUGCGAAGGCGGCUUUCUGGAUCAACACUGACGCUGAGGCGCGAAAGUAUGGGUAGCAGAGAGGAUUAGAUACCCUCGUAGUCCAUACCAUAAACGAUGAUUGCUAGAUGUUGGAAAUUUAUUUUCAGUAUCGCAGCUAACGCAUUAAGCAAUCCGCCUGGGGAGUACGACCGCAAGGUUAAAACUCAAAGGAAUUGACGG
rnacentral:rRNA from 1 species